GUGAAUCAUCAAAUCUUUGAACGCAUAUUACACUCUCUGGUAUUCCGGAGAGUAUACCUAUUUGAGGUUCAUUUGAAAUAAUAUAAAUUCCAAUUAUUCCCGGAAUUUAAAAUUGGGUGUCCAUUUUUUUUAUUCGCCUAAAAUGCAUGACAAUCUCAUUUCUUGGUUUACGAGAGACUUUCAGUUACCUCAUGACUUCACAUUACAUCUUCGAUCU
rnacentral:misc_RNA from 1 species